UGAAGCCUGUCAUGUUUGAGCUGCCCAUCUCUCCAGUGGUAGCUGAGUCUCUUCAGAGAUUUGAGAAAAAUAAGCAGCUGAAGGGUCUGAAACAGCAACAUAAAAAAAGACAAAAAGACAUGGAAACUUCAGUUUCACAGACCAAAACUACUCCACCUCCUCCCUGCCUAUCGGAUUAUUUCCCUCCACCACAGGGAGGCCAAGGGGCACAGGAUUUCUUCAAUUCACCUCCACCACAGGGAUGCCAAAGGGCACAGGAUUUCUUCAAUUCACCUCCACCACAGGGAUGCCAAAGGGCACAGGAUUGCUUUAAUUCACCUCCACCACAGGGAUGCCAAGGGGCACAGGAUUUCUUUAAUUCACCUCCACCACAGGGAUGCCAAAGGGUACAGGAUUUCUUCAAUUCACCUCCACCACAGGGAUGCCAAAGGGCCCAGGAUUUCUUCAAUUCACCUCCACCACAGGGUUGCCAAAGGGCCCAGAAUUUAUUCGAUUCACCUCCACCACAGGGUUUCCAAAGGGCCAAGGAUUUCUUCAAUUCACCUCCACCACAGGGUUUCCAAAGAGCCCAAAAUGGAGUUAACCCAUAUUCAAUGAAAGUAGGUGCUCCAAUUAGCAAAUAUUCAGGUUAUCCAGGUACAACUACCAAAGCUGGGCCUGGAAUAUCAGACACUGCCCUGGCUCACAUGCUCAGACCUCUCUCACCGAUGUGUGUGCCGGAAGAUGAUGGUGAAUGGGACUCUGGUUGGGAUCACAUGUCCACCCCUGGGACUUCUACAUGUGUUGACUCUUCCCCUGGACAUUUUAAGGCUUUUUUAGGUACUACAUGAUUUAAUCCAGCUCACCUUUUUGCCAAAACAAUCCAAAUUAAUCUAUUUUAGUCAAUGUAAUUCUGAGGUUGAUAUAAGUGCACCUUUUCAACAGUAAACUAUGUUUGUGGUAAGGGAUGUCACUAAUUUUCUCUUUCUCACAUAGGCUAUUUUGCCAGAAAAAAAGGAUGCAGUGGAGCAUAGCAUACUUAGAAAAAAUAAAUAAACUCAAGCAUCUUGUGCUUAUAAUACUUCUUAUAAAAUCCAAUGAGACAAA